rnacentral:rRNA from 1 species
AGUUUGAUCCUGGCUCAGGAUGAACGCUAGCUACAGGCUUAACACAUGCAAGUCGAGGGGAAACGACAUCGAAAGCUUGCUUUUGAUGGGCGUCGACCGGCGCACGGGUGAGUAACGCGUAUCCAACCUGCCCACCACUUGGGGAUAACCUUGCGAAAGUAAGACUAAUACCCAAUGAUAUCUCUAGAAGACAUCUGAAAGAGAUUAAAGAUUUAUCGGUGAUGGAUGGGGAUGCGUCUGAUUAGCUUGUUGGCGGGGUAACGGCCCACCAAGGCGACGAUCAGUAGGGGUUCUGAGAGGAAGGUCCCCCACAUUGGAACUGAGACACGGUCCAAACUCCUACGGGAGGCAGCAGUGAGGAAUAUUGGUCAAUGGGCGAGAGCCUGAACCAGCCAAGUAGCGUGCAGGAUGACGGCCCUAUGGGUUGUAAACUGCUUUUAUAAGGGAAUAAAGUGAGUCUCGUGAGACUUUUUGCAUGUACCUUAUGAAUAAGGACCGGCUAAUUCCGUGCCAGCAGCCGCGGUAAUACGGAAGGUCCGGGCGUUAUCCGGAUUUAUUGGGUUUAAAGGGAGCGUAGGCCGGAGAUUAAGCGUGUUGUGAAAUGUAGACGCUCAACGUCUGCACUGCAGCGCGAACUGGUUUCCUUGAGUACGCACAAAGUGGGCGGAAUUCGUGGUGUAGCGGUGAAAUGCUUAGAUAUCACGAAGAACUCCGAUUGCGAAGGCAGCUCACUGGAGCGCAACUGACGCUGAAGCUCGAAAGUGCGGGUAUCGAACAGGAUUAGAUACCCUGGUAGUCCGCACGGUAAACGAUGGAUGCCCGCUGUUGGUCUGAAUAGGUCAGCGGCCAAGCGAAAGCAUUAAGCAUCCCACCUGGGGAGUACGCCGGCAACGGUGAAACUCAAAUGAAUUGACGG